rnacentral:misc_RNA from 1 species
GAUGAAGAACGCAGCGAAAUGCGAUAAGUAAUGUGAAUUGCAGAAUCCAGUGAAUCAUUGAAUCUUUGAACGCACAUUGCGCCCGCCAGCAUUCUGGCGGGCAUGCCUGUUCGAGCGUCAUUUCAACCCUCGACCUCCCCUUGGGGAGGUCGGCGUUGGGGACCGGCAGCACACCGCCGGCCCUGAAAUGGAGUGGCGGCCCGUCUGCGGCGACCUCUGCGUAGUAAUACAGCUCGCACCGGAACCCCGACGCGGCCACGCCGUAAAACACCCAACUUCUGAACGUUGACCUCGAAUCAGGUAGGACUACCCGCUGAACUUAAGCAUAUCAAUAAGCGGAGGA